GACGAACGCUGGCGGCGUGCCUAAUACAUGCAAGUAGGACGCAGUUGCGAACGGGUGAGUAACGCGUAGGUAACUACCUAUUAGAGGGGGAUAACUAUUGGAAACGAUAGCUAAUACCGCAUACUAGUAGAUGGACCUUCGUUGUAUUAGCUAGUAGGUAGGGUAAUGGCCUACCUAGGCAACGAUACAUAGCCGGCCUGGAAAGGAGGUCGGCCCAAAUGGGAAUGGGACACGGCCCAGACUCCUACGGGAGGCAGCAAGAGGGAAUCAUUGGCAAUGGGGGGAACCCUGACCGAGCAACGCCGCGUGAGUGAAGAAGGUUUUCGGAUCGUAAAGCUCUGUUGUUAAGGAAGCGGUACUUAACCAGAAAGGGACGGCUAACUACGUGCCAGCAGCCGCGGUAAUUC
rnacentral:rRNA from 1 species